AUGGAAAGGAAGGCUGGAAUGAUACUGGAUGAACAUGUUCUGAAAGCUAAUGAUCGCAAGAGGAAACAUGAGUCUGCUGUGAAGAUUACUGGCACAGAUGAUUCUGCUGAGGUCUCUCAGCAUGCUGAUGGUUCUGCUGCCCUUAAGAAGUCUAAAAUGACCUCUUGUGCUGGCCAUAUUCUGGAGUGGUAUAAGAACUUCAAGACAAGCGGGUUGCCGGUGCGUGUGCUUUGUUACCACCAGGGUAAAUGGAGGGAUUUUCCAGAGCAUGUUGUGAAUCUGGUACAGCAGGACUUCAAGUUGAAGAGGCCAAUUACUAAUGCUGUAUUCAAGAACCAGCAAGUCCUGUUGGACUUUAUGCACAUGGUCUGCAUUGAUUCUUCAAUGACCACAAACAAGCCAAUAGCAUGGAUUGAUGUUCAUGGUAACCGCUUCUUUCCAGAGUUAUGUGCUGGACUGGUAACAUCUAAACCAUCUCAGCAUGGGAAAAGUGACCCCAGUGGUAAAUCUGAAGCUGGUGAGUGUGCUGGGACUUUGAUUUUAACAGCUGGAGCUGAAAGCUCGAGUUCAGAUUCUGUUGAUGCAGUACUCCCUCAUGCUAAGAAGGUACAUAAUUAUGCUGCUGUUGAAAAUAAAGCUGGUCCUGCAAUCUGUUUGAAGGAAUCUGCUAGUGGAAACAUACAUGCUGCUACUUGUAAGCAGAAAAUUGGCCAACCUGUUGAUUCAGCUGUGCGCAAAUUAUUACUUGAAGGGGCAGGCCAACCUUUUAGUGAAGAAAAUAUUGUUGGGAUCUACAGAACCCCACUGGUAGAUCAGCAAGGGCGGGCUCGCUUCAAUCUUUUCCAGAAGGAACUUGAAGUCACCAAAAUGCAUCGUGGGAAUGCAAAUGUGCGCUAUGCGUGGCUACCUUGUUCCAAGGAUGCUAUGGAGGAGAUGAUGAUGCGUGGUGUUCUGGAAGUUACAAAACCAAUGCUGGGGCCAAUGUAUGGCAUUGGUACACAUCUUGCUCCAGCGAACUGCGCCAAAACUUGUGCCAGCUACUCAGAUAUUGACGAAAAUGGCAUCAUGAGGAUGAUGCUGUGCCGUGUUAUAAUGGGGAAUGUUGAGGUUGUACUUCCUGGAUCAAAGCAAUUCCAGCCAACCAAUGAAAGAUUUGAUAGUGGCGUGGAUGAUCUUCAAAAGCCAAAGCACUAUGUCAUAUGGGAUGCUAAUGUGCAUCGACACAUCUAUGCUGAAUAUGCUGUUGUUAUCAAAGCACCUUCCAUGACCAAUGAAUACAUGGCUAGAGAAGAUACUGCAUCCAACGUAUCUGAGAUAAGAAAUUCUGGUUCAGCAGAAAGUGUAAUCAAGGACGAUAGUUCCGAAACCAUGGCAUCUCCAGCUGGUAAACAACAAGCACCCAGGUUUGGGCGUGCUCCAACUCGAAGGCCUCCUACUUCACCCUGGAUGCCCCUCCCAAUGCUUUUUGCUGCCAUCUCCACAAAAGUUCCCCGUUCUGACAUGGACGUAAUCCAUGGACACUAUGAAGAAUUCAAGAGGAGAAAGAUAAGCAGGCCCGAGUUUGUGGGACGACUAAGACAGAUCGUCGGCGACAAGCUGCUGGUUUCUACAGUAAUGAGGCUGCAACCUAAGGUGGUGCCACCCAUGGCAGGUGCUGAAGUGCUACCAAGAAGAACACCCGGCACGGGAGAGCAGCACCUCCAGAAGUAG
rnacentral:rRNA from 1 species